rnacentral:rRNA from 1 species
GAUGAACGCUGGCGGCGUGCCUAAUACAUGCAAGUCGAGCGAACGGACGAGAAGCUUGCUUCUCUGAUGUUAGCGGCGGACGGGUGAGUAACACGUGGAUAACCUACCUAUAAGACUGGGAUAACUUCGGGAAACCGGAGCUAAUACCGGAUAAUAUUUUGAACCGCAUGGUUCAAAAGUGAAAGACGGUCUUGCUGUCACUUAUAGAUGGAUCCGCGCUGCAUUAGCUAGUUGGUAAGGUAACGGCUUACCAAGGCAACGAUGCAUAGCCGACCUGAGAGGGUGAACGGCCACCCUGGAACUGAGACACGGUCCAGACUCCUACGGGAGGCAGCAGUAGGGAAUCUUCCGCAAUGGGCGAAAGCCUGACGGAGCAACGCCGCGUGAGUGAUGAAGGUCUUCGGAUCGUAAAACUCUGUUAUUAGGGAAGAACAUAUGUGUAAGUAACUGUGCACAUCUUGACGGUACCUAAUCAGAAAGCCACGGCUAACUACGUG